rnacentral:tRNA from 1 species
UGGCCUGAAGCUCAUCAGGAUGAGCAGGCGAUUCUUAAUCGUCAGGUAGCGAGUUCGAUUCUCGCCAGGCCAACCA